AACGAACGCUGGCGGCAUGCCUAACACAUGCAAGUCGAACGAGACCUUCGGGUCUAGUGGCGCACGGGUGCGUAACGCGUGGGAACCUUCCCUUAGGUUCGGAAUAACUCCCCGAAAGGGGUGCUAAUACCGGAUAAUGUCUUCGGACCAAAGAUUGAUCGCCUUUGGAUGGGCCCGCGUUGGAUUAGCAAGUUGGUAGGGUAAAAGCCUACCAAGGCGACGAUCCAUAGCUGGUCUGAGAGGAUGAUCAGCCACACUGGGACUGAGACACGGCCCAGAAUCCUACGGGAGGCAGCAGUGGGGAAUAUUGGACAAUGGGCGAAAGCCUGAUCCAGCAAUGCCGCGUGAGUGAUGAAGGCCUUAGGGUUGUAAAGCGCUUUUACCCGGGAUGAUAAUGACAGUACCGGGAGAAUAAGCUCCGGCUAACUCCGUG
rnacentral:rRNA from 1 species